rnacentral:rRNA from 1 species
GUGCCAGCCGCUGCGGUAAUACAGAGGGUGCGAGCGUUAAUCGGAUUUACUGGGCGUAAAGCGUGCGUAGGCGGCUAAUUAAGUCGGAUGUGAAAUCCCCGAGCUCAACUUGGGAAUUGCAUUCGAUACUGGAUAGCUAGAGUAUUGGAGAGGAUGGUAGAAUUCCAGGUGUAGCGGUGAAAUGCGUAGAGAUCUGGAGGAAUACCGAUGGCGAAGGCAGCCAUCUGGCCAAAUACUGACGCUGAGGUACGAAAGCAUGGGGAGCAAACAGGAUUAGAUACCCUGGUAGUCCAUGCCGUAAACGAUGUCUACUAGCCGUUGGUCUCUUUGAGGGAUUAGUGGCGCAGCUAACGCGAUAAGUAGACCGCCUGGGGAGUACGGUCGCAAGACUAAAACUCAAAUGAAUUGACGGGGGCCCGCACAAGCGGUGGAGCAUGUGGUUUAAUUCGAUGCAACGCGAAGAACCUUACCUGGUCUUGACAUAGUGAGAAUC